ACACCCAACUUGAGAUCAAUUAUCCCGACAUAUACUCUGUCGGAUUGCAUCUAUGUUCUAAAAUCUUUUCCAGACCUAAUCAAUAUGUGAAAGUUUAGUGAGGGGCGCCCCCGUUUACUCACGCCGCUCCAGAUCUGUACACGCUGGGUCACGGUGCUCAGGCGGGCAACGCGCGCCAAGGCGCGCUUC